rnacentral:rRNA from 1 species
AUCAACUUUCGAUGGUAGGAUAGAGGCCUACCAUGGUGGUAACGGGUAACGGGGUGUUAGGGCACGACACCGGAGAGGGAGCCUGAGAAACGGCUACCACAUCCAAGGAUGGCAGCAGGCGCGCAAAUUACCAUCCCGACACGGGGAGGUAGUGACAAUAAAUAACAAUACGGGGUUCUUUCGGAUUUCGUAAUUGGAAUGAGUACAAUUUAAAUCUCUUAACGAGGAACAAUUGGAGGGCAGGUCUGGUGCCAGCAGCCGCGGUAAUUCCAGCUCCAAUAGCGUAUAUUAAAGUUGCUGCAGUUAAAAAGCUCGUAGUUGAAUUUCGGGACCAAUAUGUCGGUCGUGCCUCGGUACGUACUGGCAUCGUUGGUUUCUCCCUUCUGACGAACCAUGAUGUCAUUUAUUUGGUGUCGUGGGGAAUCAGGACUGUUACUUUGAAAAAAUUAGAGUGUUUAAAGCAGGCUCACGCUUGAAUACAUUAGCAUGGAAUAAUGAAAUAGGACGUUUGAUUCUAUUUUGUUGGUUUCUAGGAUCGACGUAAUGAUUAAUAGGGAUAGUUGGGGGCAUUAGUAUUCAAUUGUCAGAGGUGAAAUUCUUGGAUUUAUUGAAGACUAACUACUGCGAAAGCAUUUGCCAAGGAUGUUUUCAUUAAUCAAGAACGAAAGUUAGGGGAUCGAAGACGAUCAGAUACCGUCGUAGUCUUAACCAUAAACUAUGCCGACUAGGGAUCGGAUGAUGUUAAUUUUUUAAUGACUCAUUCGGCGCCUUACGGGAAACCAAAGUGUUUGGGUUC